CGAUGUGGUGGACAAGGUCCUGAGUUUCAGCUCAAAACUCCUCCGGCUCAAUAUCCAAUUACUUUUGCAGUGGCAGGGGAUUUGGGUCAAACUGGUUGGACUAAAUCAACAUUAGAUCACAUUGAUCAAUGUAAAUAUGAUGUUUACCUUCUUCCGGGUGACCUUUCAUAUGCUGAUUGUAUGCAACAUCUUUGGGACUCGUUUGGUAGACUAGUGGAGCCACUCGCUAGUGCGAGGCCGUGGAUGGUAACAGAAGGAAAUCAUGAAGAGGAGAAUAUACUAUUUUUGACGGAUGAAUUUGUAUCGUAUAAUUCUAGAUGGAAAAUGCCGUUUGAGGAAAGUGGAUCAACUUCAAAUCUGUAUUAUUCUUUUGAAGUUGCAGGUGUUCAUGUUAUCAUGCUAGGGUCUUAUGCAGAUUAUGAUGAGUCCUCAGAACAAUACACAUGGCUAAUGGUUAGUCGAUUGCCCUAUACAUGAUAAGUGUAAUGGAUCCACAACCGGAAAAAAGUACUUAGACUAGGGUCAUAUUUGGAUAAACAACUUAGUUAGACGUAAACACUUAUUAUGCUCUAAGUGCUUAUGUAUAGAAGAGAAAAUAAAGUCAAUUAUUUUCGUAAGUUAUCAUGGAGAAUUUAUGGAAAUAAACUAAAAAUGGCUUAUGGACACGUCGUAAACUAUUUUUAUAAGCUCUCCCACCAAACACUUUCACAAGUUCUUAUGUCAGUAGAUAAGUUUAAAUAAGUCAAUUCAAACAGACUUUAGAUAAUAAGCAUGGAAGUGAAAUUUUCUUUUUCUAUUCUCUUGACACAUUUAUUCUCUCUUUAAUUUUUCCUCAACCCUUGUUGUCUACAGGCAGAUCUGUCAAAGGUGGACAGGACAAGGACACCUUGGCUGCUUGUGUUAUUUCACGUGCCAUGGUAUAAUAGUAACAGAGCUCAGCAAGGUGCAGGGGAUGAUAUGAUGGCAGUCAUGGAACCAUUGCUUUAUGCUGCUAGUGUUGAUUUAGUUAUUGCUGGUAAUGUUCAUGCUUAUGAACGUUCGGUACGCCUUAAUGGUUCAGUUUUAUUUUAAGCCGUGAGAAUGAUUUCAUGGAAAUUGGGUCUUAAAUGGUGCUUUGUGUGAUUGACAGAAACGUGUGUAUAAUGGAAGAUUGGAUCGUUGUGGUGCUGUUCAUAUAACUAUUGGUGAUGGGGGAAACAGAGAAGGCUUAGCUCAUAGGUAAGUUAUAUCUGCUAGUCGCAUAAUAUAAAAAUCUGUUUCUGGAAUAAAUACCUUAAACAUCCAAUGGCCAUGGGAUUCAAAAUCUCACUCUUACCCUCAACAGGUCAAUUUCUCUUUCUCUUCUUUAUCAAUUCUAACAUUAUUUAUUUAUUUCCUAUUUGCUUUUUACUUAUUUAUUUAUUUCUUUUUUUAAUCUGAAAUUGUCGAUUAAGUAACCCUACACCAUAAGCAAGUACUUUACUAUUGUUUAACUUAACUGCUUAUUAUUUAGAUGUUGGUUUCAAAUUUAAAUAAAAUUGAUUAUUGGAUUAAAUAAUCUAGAGACUUUUUUAGAGAUGUUUGUGUUUAUGAUGAUAGGUUAAUAACUAUCCUGUGAAUUCUGAAUCAUGCUUAUUUUAUCAAGCAACUAUGAUAACUCUUUAUGCAUGUUCAUUUAAGGUACUUAUUAAAUUUCAGAUUCUUAGAUAGAAAAGUUAAUGUAAUUUUUAUCAAGCAACUAUGAUAACUCUUUAUGCAUGUUCAUUUAAGGUACUUAUUAAAUUUCAGAUUCUUAGAUAGAAAAGUUAAUGUAAUUUUUUUUUUCAGGUGCACAUUUCUUUGGCCGGAGACAAGCACAUGAGAAUUACAUGGAUAACUGAAGACAAACAUUCAUCUUCAUUUGUAGAAUAUGGAACAUUACCUGGUAGAUAUGAUUCAAUGGCUGAAGGAGAAUGCACCUCUUAUAAUUAUCUGUUAUAUAGCUCAGGAAAGAUACACCAUACUGUAAUUGGACCUUUGGAACAUGACACCGUGUACUUUUACCGAUGUGGUGGACAAGGUCCUGAGUUUCAGCUCAAAACUCCUCCGGCUCAAUAUCCAAUUACUUUUGCAGUGGCAGGGGAUUUGGGUCAAACUGGUUGGACUAAAUCAACAUUAGAUCACAUUGAUCAAUGUAAAUAUGAUGUUUACCUUCUUCCGGGUGACCUUUCAUAUGCUGAUUGUAUGCAACAUCUUUGGGACUCGUUUGGUAGACUAGUGGAGCCACUCGCUAGUGCGAGGCCGUGGAUGGUAACAGAAGGAAAUCAUGAAGAGGAGAAUAUACUAUUUUUGACGGAUG
rnacentral:lncRNA from 1 species